ensembl:lncRNA
UUUUUUCUUUUUCUUUUUUUUAAGGGGGCUGUUAUGAGUUGUGCUGGAAACCAGGAAAGGAUGAGCAAAGAAAAAAGUUCCCCUGAGUCAUUUGGCCCCAAACAUUUUAGCAUACCCAAAGGCUCCAGAGCCCUUUCAGUAACAUAUAUUAUUCCUAUUAAAGAUCCUACCCCUUGGUUUGGGUUCUGUAGCUAGACAAAGAGAAGGUUAAGAACAUCUACUUCUGUGUUACAUUGUUCCAAACUUUUCCUUUCUUUUCUUUUCUUUUCUUUUCUUUUUUUUGAGACGGGGGUCUCACUGUGUUGCCCAGGUUGGAGUGCAAUGGCAAACUCUCCUGCUCACUGCAACCUCCACCUCCAGGGUUCAACUGAUUCUCCUGCCUCAGCCUCCAGAGUAGGAGACUCAUUUGAACCCAGGAGGUAGAGAUUGCAGUUAGCUGAGAUUGCGCUACUGCACUCCAGCCUGGAGUAACAGAGUGAGAUCAGUCUUAAUAAAUAAAUUAAUUAAUUAAUUAAAAAAUGAAAAGGAGGGAAAGGACAUGAACAGGCACUUCUCAAAAGAAGACAUACAUGUGGCCUACAAGCAUAUGAAAAAAGCUCAGUAUCGCUGAUUAUUAGAAAAAUGCAAAUCCAAACCACAAUGAGAUACUGCCUCACACUAGUCAGAAUGGCUAUUAGUAAAAAGUCAAAAAGUAACAGAUGCUGGUGAGGAUGCAGAGAAAAGGGAGUAUUUAUAUACUGUUAGUGGGAGUGUAAAUUAGUUCAACCCUUGUAGAAAGCAGUACCAAAUAGCUAAAAUGCAGGGUCUCAUAUUCUACUAGUAAUUUGAGGACUUUUAAAAAUUAUUCAUUGUAGCUAAAGUUUACUAAUAUUGUUAAUCUUUUCUAAAGUCCAACUUUUGGCUUUUUAAAUUUUCUCUAUUUUUCCACUCUAUUUUAUGUACAUAUCUUUUAAUAUUUAUUAUAUUGUUCAUUUGGCUGGUGUUGGGUUUAAUUUCUUUUCCUUUUUCUAGUUUCUUAAGGGAUGAAGUUAGGUUGUUGGUUUAAGAUGUUUUUUCUGGCUGGGUGCGGUGGCUCAAGCCUGUAAUCCCAGCACUUUGGGAGGCCGAGACGUGUGGAUCAUGAGGUCAGGAGAUCGAGACCAUCCUGGCUAACCCGGUGAAACUCUGUCUCUACUAAAAAAUAUAAAACACUAGCCGGGCGAGGUGGCGGGCGCCUGUAGUCCCAGUUACUUGGGAGGCUGAGGCAGGAGAAUGGCGUAAACCUGGGAGGCGGAGCUUGCAGUGAGCUGAGAUCCGGCCACUGCACUCCAGCCCGGGCGACAGAGUGACACUCCGUCUCAAAAAAAAAAAAGAUGUUUUUUCCAAUGUAUAUAAAGAUAUAAAUUUGCCUCUAAGCACUACUUUUGUUGCAUCCCAUAUGUUUUGAUAUGUUGUGUUUUAAAUUUCAUUAGCCUUAAGAUAUUUUCUAAUUUCCCUUGUAUUUUUUUCUUUGACUCAUUGGUUAUUUAAAAGUGUUGUUUACAUUCCACCUAAUUUUCAAUUUUUUAGUUGUACUUCUGUUAAUGAAUUCUAGUUUCAUUCCAUUGUGAUAGGAAAUAAUGCUUUCUAUGAGUUUAGUUGUUUAAAAUUAAUUAAGACCAGCUUUGUGGUCUAACAUAUAAUCUGUCCUGAAGAAUUCUCCAUGUGCACUUGAAAAAAAUGUAUAUUCUGCUGUUGUUGGAUGGAGUGUUCUAUAUGUCUUUGAGGUCCCGUUGGUCUAUAGUGCUGCUCAAGUCCUCUACUUUCUUAUUGCCCUGGUUGUUUUUUGCAUUAUUGAAAGUAGGCAUUACAUUAUCCAAGUAUUAUUGGAGAGCUGUCUAUUUCUCUCUUCAGUUAUGUCAAUGUUUGUUUCAUAUAUUUAGAGGUUCUGAUAUUUAGUGCCUAUAUGUUUAUAAUUGUUAUUUAUUCUUGAUGAAUUGACACUUUUAUUAAUAUAUGAUGUUCUUUGUCUUUUAUAUAUACAUGUACUUUUAUUUUAUCUAACAUUAGUAUGGCCAUCCCAAUUUCUUUUGGUUACUAUUUGCUUGGAAUAUCUUUUCCAUUCUUUCAUUUUCAACUUAUAUGUGUUUUCAGAUCUGAAGUGAGCUCUUAUAGACACCUUCUUGUUAGAUCCUGUUUUUGCUAUCAAUUCUGUCCAUCUAUGCCUUUUAAUUGGGAAUUUUAAUUCAUUUAUAUUUAAUGCAAUUACUGAUGGGGAAGGACUUAUAUUUUCCGUUUUCCUAUUUAUUUCAGGGUGUCUUAUAGUUAUUUUCUCACUCAUUUUUUCCAUUAUUGCCUUUCUUUGUGUUUAGCUGUUUUUUUUUUUUUUUGUAGAGACACAUUUUUAUUAUCUUCUCCUUUCCUUUGUGUAUAUUCUAUAAUUUGUGUUAACUUAAGGAUUAUUUAUAAUAUUUACAUUUUUUAACAACCUAUUUUUAAUGAAUACUAACAACUUCAGUGGCAAACUAAAACUCUACUCCUACACAGCUCCACCCCUCUGCUUUAUGAUAUCAAUAUCACAAAUUACAUCUGCAUUUAUUUUGUAACCAUUAACAUAGAUUUAUUAUUAUAUUUACUCGAUUGCUUCUAAAUCUUAUAAAAAAUAAAAAGUGAUAUUACACACCAGAAUCUUAAUGAUGCUGAGCAUUAUAUUUUGCUGAUUCAUUUAUCUUUACCAGAGAUCUUUGUAUCUUUAUAUGAUGAUUAUGAAUUAUUGUUUUGCAUCUUUUCAGUUUACUCUAUAGAACUCUCUCUAGCUUUUCUCGUAGGGCAGGCUUAGUGCAAUAAACUGCCUCCGAAUUUUUUUUUUUUAUCUUGAAAUGCUUUAAUUUCACC